rnacentral:rRNA from 1 species
GAUGAACGCUGGCGGCGUGCCUAGUACAUGCAAGUCGAGCGAACGGACGAGAAGCUUGCUUUUCUGAUGUUAGCGGCGGACGGGUGAGUAACACGUGGAUAACCUACCUAUAAGACUGGGAUAACUUCGGGAAACCGGAGCUAAUACCGGAUAAUAUUUUGAACCGCAUGGUUCAAAAGUGAAAGACGGUCUUGCUGUCACUUAUAGAUGGAUCCGCGCUGCAUUAGCUAGUUGGUAAGGUAACGGCUUACCAAGGCAACGAUGCAUAGCCGACCUGAGAGGGUGAUCGGCCACACUGGAACUGAGACACGGUCCAGACUCCUACGGGAGGCAGCAGUAGGGAAUCUUCCGCAAUGGGCGAAAGCCUGACGGAGCAACGCCGCGUGAGUGAUGAAGGUCUUCGGAUCGUAAAACUCUGUUAUUAGGGAAGAACAUAUGUGCAAGUAACUGUGCACAUCUUGACGGUACCUAAUCAGAAAGCCACGGCUAACUACGUG